UUGAUAUUAACUUACAUGGGCAAAAUUCUUUUAGUGUAGAUUUUGUCGAAGAGAAAUGACAUCAAUGAAGAUAAGUAUCUCCUGUUGUUUCUAUAUAUACACUUUUUCUUCUUGUUUAAAAACUUAAAAACUAUAUAAUUGUGAAAAUUGAAGGUUCACACACUGUUAAAAGGAUUGGAAAAGAUAGUUGCAAGUGCAGAUAUUCCAAUGUUAGUUUGUGGCGACUUCAAUUUUGUUCCAGGAAGUGUCCCUCAUGCACUUCUUACAAUUGGAAAAGUUGAUCCAAUGCAUCAAGAUUUAGCAGUUGACCCUCUUGGAAUCUUGCGACCUGUCACUAAACUCAUUCACACUCUUCCCUUGGUUGAUAUCUAAUUUGGUGGUUGUCCUUGUCUGUACAACUUGUGGUGACAUUGUAUUUGAUUGUGUUGGGCAGCCGAUUCGGUUAUUAUUAACGUUUUCUCAAUUACUCUUUUUAUUUAAACCAUAGAGGUUAUUAUAGGAUAUUUGCUAGCUGGAUAUGCAGGUAAGUGUACCCCUUCCUCUACAAUACAAACUGCUUUCUCAAUUCUCACAUCAUGGUGUUGAAUCUUGCAGCCAAUCCUAAAUCAAAAAAAAUCCAUUGGAGAUCUUUAGAAGGUCUUCCCAAUAAGCAAUCAUUCAUUCAUGAUGGUUCUAUGCUACAUUAUAAAAAGCAGAAGGCAGAGUGUCCUCAUUAUUCUUGAUAAUUACGUCUGUUUGAUCUAAUGACCUGUGAAGUUAUAACACAGAUAAGUUCCUUUCUAUUACUUAAUUAAUUAAAUUGAACAAAUAAAAUGAAGCAUAGGCAUAUGAGGAGCACCUCUUUUGGUUUCACCAACUUCAGUUCAUGGAAAACUCCCUGAGUAUUGCAAUGGUGUUGGUUGUUAAUGAAAAAUCCAUUAUUUCAUAUUUUUAUUUAUAUUUACCAAACGAUCCAGACCGUUUUUGUUAGAUUUUUGAAUAUAAGUGAGAUUAUUCAAUUGCAUUCCCAGGAUGUCAUACGUUUGUAGACUCUUCUUAAAUAAUCCUUAUAAAAGGAAAUUGCAACAAUUUGUUUUCCUAUUUCCUGAUUUCUUACCAAUAUAACUAACUUUAUGUUUUAAGAUCCAUAAAAUAAUGCCACUCACAUAGUGACACGUUUAUUUGUAUUAUCUUUUUUUUUUUAUAAAAAUGUCUAGAUACUCAUCUUGAUCAUUGCAGAUACUCUGCAUUAUUAACUACUCCAACCCUUUUUCAAGAAGGAAGAAUCAAGGAACUACAAGAUAAAUUAGACGCAGUGAAAAUGGAACAACCACAAGUGAGGUUGAAUGAUGCAGUUACAAAAGAGUGUGCUGUAGAGAUGUCGGAUGAAUUUAACAUAACCUGGCUUCAUAGAGGGGAUCCCAUACUUAAUGUUAGUAAUUUAUCAAUUGAAGCAAGUAGGAACUUAGGUUUGUUGCUUGAUCAACUAAGGUAUCAAGAUAUGAAGUCACUCAGCAAUAUGGUGGUUAUUGUGCCAAUCAAAUGAAAAAUCCAUGUCUUUCUCUUUGAUACUUUUUAAAAUUCACCAACCAAUUAGAGUUUAGAAUAAAUUUUGUUUUAUUUAUUAUAAUUAGGCUGAAAAAUUCAUUGAAAAUUUGAAUUAAAUUCUAAGACUUUGAUAAAGGAGAUACAAAGCUAAAUACUAAGAGUAGAGGUCUGUGUUUGGUUCCUAUUUCAUGAACUGCUCAAGUUACAUCAGUUAUGUUAUCUGUUAACAUCUUGUUCUUUAU